rnacentral:lncRNA from 1 species
GCUUUUGAGUAAGAAUUUUAAACACAGGACCAUGGCUUUGAUUGGUGCUGACUUCACCGAGAAGACACGACCGGUUCCCAGUUCUCCUGCAGCGUGCAUGGGAGCACACAAGAGCCUUCCACUAUGUGAUUAAAGAUGGCUGAAAGUGUGCUUCAAUUUUUUUUCACUAGGAAAAAAAAAAGCACCUUCAUGUUAUUAAAUUAUUUAUUAACUUAUUGAUAUAAUUCCAUUCUAUGUCAGGAAUACUAUAUUAUUCUGGUCCAAAUGAUCUUUCACAAAGAUUUCUUUCCAGAAAGGAAAAUACUAGGGAAAAUACAGCCAUCAACAUUUAUUUUUGCUUUUUAGAAAAUUUGAUAAUAUCAGCUGACUUUUGUCUUAACA